CAGAGACAGGCAGGAUUUCAAAGUGGCACAGGAGACGUUUGGGAGUUUUGCAUAUGCACCAGCAAGGCUCUUGGAUCAAGCCCUACAGCAGAAAGCAAGCAGUAUGUGGUGCCGUGGAAGCAAGAUGCUAAGAAAAUACACCUGCGAACAGUGAUGUAUCAAUGGCUGGAGCGAGACAGGAGAGGAGGAACAGGAGGAGGAGAGUGAGAGAAACUGAUUGCCAACCUUAGUCCAGUGAAAACUUUGCUCCGAUAAUAUUUCCUUGGCCUGACCAAUCCAGAUCAACAAUCCUCUUCUUUGGUGAUUGAAUAAGGGAAGAAGCUCUGCUGGGUGACCUUGAACACAUCACUUCACUUCCUUGAGCUUCAAUAUACCUGCCAUCAAAUGGGAACAAUCAUGUUUACCUCCCUGAAUAGUCAAGAGGAUUAAAUUAAAUAGUGAGGAAAUGUUUGUGCAUUCCAAAUCACCGGCUGAUACAAACACUCAAAGACAAGGGAGAAGGAAACAUAAACAAGGAAACAGAAACAUCCUGUCAACCUGCCCAAAGUGUGCUAAUUACAUUUAAGUCAGCACUGGGUACCAGAUAUAUAUUGGGCUCAUAUUCAUUCCUUAUUCUGCUGUAAAUGUUACCCAGCUCAUCAGCACAGCCCAAGAAUGAACAGACUGGAAGUCCCAUGUUAGCAGGAACUGAGCCUUUCUUGUUCACUGCUGCAUCCCUAAAUACAUAGUUGAGAAUCGGUGAAUAUAACCUGGGUUCAGUCCUCACUCUGGCACGAACUUGG
rnacentral:lncRNA from 1 species